rnacentral:rRNA from 1 species
CCUACGUGUGGCUGCAGUGGGGAAUAUUGCACAAUGGGCGCAAGCCUGAUGCAGCCAUGCCGCGUGUGUGAAGAAGGCCUUCGGGUUGUAAAGCACUUUCAGCGGGGAGGAAGGCGUUAAGGUUAAUAACCUUGUCGAUUGACGUUACCCGCAGAAGAAGCACCGGCUAACUCCGUGCCAGCAGCCGCGGUAAUACGGAGGGUGCAAGCGUGAAUCGGAAUUACUGGGCGUAAAGCGCACGCAGGCGGUCUGUCAAGUCGGAUGUGAAAUCCCCGGGCUCAACCUGGGAACUGCAUUCGAAACUGGCAGGCUAGAGUCUUGUAGAGGGGGGUAGAAUUCCAGGUGUAGCGGUGAAAUGCGUAGAGAUCUGGAGGAAUACCGGUGGCGAAGGCGGCCCCCUGGACAAAGACUGACGCUCAGGUGCGAAAGCGUGGGGAGCAAACAGGAUUAGAUACCCCUGUAGUC